rnacentral:rRNA from 1 species
CCCUUAGAUGUUCUGGGCCGCACGCGCGCUACACUGAUCAGUGCAACAAGCAUCCGUCCUUGGCCGACAGGCCCGGGCAAUCUUUGAACGCUGAUCGUGAUGGGGAUAGACUUUUGCAAUUUUUGGUCUUCAACGAGGAAUUCCUAGUAAACGCAAGUCAUCAACUUGCAUUGAUUACGUCCCUGCCCUUUGUACACACCGCCCGUCGCACCUACCGAUUGAAUGGUCCGGUGAAGCCUCCGGAUUGGCGCGCACCUCGGUGCCGCCGAGAAGUUGGCUAAACCUUACCAUUUAGAGGAAGGUGAANUCGUAACA